UUCUCUCUCUGCAUCUUUCUCGCCAGCGUCCAGCAAUUAGUCGGUGUGUCCGUUGUACGAAGAAUAUAUGUAAACUAUUGCUUUGCAUUGUUCUUCAUCCUCCUUUUUCUUCAUUGGAGAGGUGCAAUUGCGCAUCGGAAAUCGUUCGACUAUGCAUCGUUGAGUGAGAAACAUAUGUUUACUCGCGCGCCAUAUGGGGUUGAAGAAUUUCGAAGAAGUAGGCUAUUCGUGGUUCUUCCUUUUCUAGGUUUUUUUCUUGAUUACAACUCCAAGGCCGAUGUUUAUUGUUUUCUUCAACCUUUUUUUCUAUUAGGGACGUGAUUAUCGUCGUCUCUUUUUCUUUUUCUCGUUGUCUUGAUGGCCUCAACUGCUUUUUUUCUUGAGAUGUUUUCUUUUUCUUUUUUGUUUCCCCUUUGGUUUUGUAUUCGUUCCGAUCUUUUGGCAGAGUAGAGACAGUGGUAAUCUGGUUUAUAUGUGAGGUAGUGAUUUUAUAUCUUCCUACUGGUUGAAGAAUAUCGGAGAAACGGGUUAUUAUUGUUUUUUUCUUUUCUAGGUUUUUCUUGAUUCCAACUUCAAGGUUGAUUAUUUUGUUUUCUUGUACUUUUUCAGUGGGGAUAUGAUUAUCGUUGUCCCGUUUCUUUUUCCGUUGGUUUGAUGGCCUCAAUUCUGGGGCUUACAACGUUGUUUUCCUGAUAUGUUUUCUUCUCCUUUUUCUCCCGUUUGAUUUAUUAUUAUCUCGAUCUUUUUGCAGAAGUUGAGAGAGUAAUAAGCUGGUUUAUAUUUUACGUGCGUGCAUUAAAAUCUCAUGCUUUUAACUUGUCUCGGAAAAGGGAACAUGUUUCUUGGGUCUGGUCUCAUGACCUGGGGUAUAAUUCUCAUAAUUAUUCAAAUUUGCCUUCUGGUUUUAAUCUGCUUCCUCUUCAUCCCAGACUGUUUGAGGAUGUGAAGGGAUUAACGUUCUUCUAGAUUCUUGAACCUCUUUUUUCUCCAGAAGUUGCAACUCAUCAUUGAAAAUUGUACGCAUCAUAGGUUGUAUUACACUCUCCACACUCGUGUCCCUUUAUGUAUGGGUUCAAGAAUCUAGAAGAAGUUAGGCAAUCCUUUUCUCCCCCCCUCUUCUUUUUAGGUUUUUAUUCUAUCCAAUGCUAAGGCUGCUAUGUUUUGUUUUCCUGAUAUUUCCACUUGAAGCUGAUCAGUUUUAUUGUUUGAUGGUCUUAACUGCGAGGUUGAUUUAUGGAAUUCAAUAAAUAUUGAUCUGUUGGGAGAACUUGAAGUAGUGAUACUCAGGUUUCUAUUUCACAUACAUGCAUUACAAUUUCAUGUUUUGUUCUAGUUCUAGGAGAACGGGAAAAAAAUAAUCUUGUAUUUUCUAAUAGAAUCUUUAUACUGCUAAUUUUCUACUAUAUUUUCUCAAUGGUUGUAUAAUUUUUGGACAUGCUUUCAGGGUUCUAAUUGCUGCCUCAUUGAUACCUUAUCAGUUGAGGAUAAAAAGGGAAUUAACAUUCUUUAAACCAUAAAAUCAUUUUCGCUCUAGAAACCGGGGAACAAUCACAAAAUCUCGAGUUUUAUUUGGAACUGUUGAUAUUAUUUGCAUCAUGCUUAAAUUAAAAGUUUGCAUUAUAAAUUUGUUAUCACAAUUGUGCAUCUGUCAGUCAAUUAUGAAUCUAAUCUUCAUGGUUGGGCAUUAUUUUGUCCAUUCAUAUCGCUCUCUGAUUAUUUUCAGUGUCGGGAUAAUCAUUGAUGCAACUGAAAACAUACUCGCGCACAUACUUCUACCCUUAUUUUCCCAACAUCUUUCAUGUUCAAGUGGCCUGCUAUUAUUUUACUAUUAUCGUGAUCUUUUUGCAGAAGUAGAGUGUAGUAAGGUGGUUUGUAUUUUACGUGCGUGCAUUAAAGUCUCAUGCUUUGAACUUGUCUUGGAAAAAGGUACAACAUGGUGCUUGGAUUUUGUCAUGAAACCGGGGUGUAAUUCCUAAUUAUUCAAAUUUGCCUUAGGUUUAAUCUGAUUCCUCUUGAUCCCAAAUUCCCAGUCUGUUUGAGGAUAUGAAGGGAUUAAUGUUCUUCAAGAUUCUUGCACAUCUUAUUUUCUUCAGAAGUUGCAUUUCAUCAUUAAAAAUUGUAUGAAUCAUAGGUCAUAUAACACUUCACUUUUUUUUUUCUUAUGUAUGGGUUCAAGAAUCGAGAAGAAGUUGGUAAUCUGUAUUUCCCCCACUUCUUUUUAAGGUUUCUCUUCUUUCCAAGGUAAAGGGGGCUGUGUUUAGUUUCCUGUUAUCUCCAUUGGGGAGCUGAUCAUUUUUAUUGUUUGAUGUUCAUGUUCUUAACUGUUGGGCUGUUUCUGGAAUUUAAUAAUAUUGAUCUGAUGGGAGAACUUGAAGAGUGAUACUCAGGUUUCUACUUCAUGUACAUGCAUUACAAUUUCAUUUUUUGUGCUAGUUCUUGGAGAAAGGAGUUUUCUUUUUCUUGUAUUUGUAAUAGAAUCUUUAUAUUGUUCAUUUUCUACUAUAUUUUCUCAAUGGUUAUAUAAUUUUUGGACAUUCUUUCAGGGUUCUAAGUGCUGCCUUUGUGAUAAUUUAUCGGUUGAGAAUGAAAAGGGAAUUAACCUUCGUGAAACCAUUUUAUGAUAUCCUGGGAAGAAUCAUAAAUCUCGAUUUCUAUUUGGACCUCUUGGUAUUAUAUGCAUCAUGCUUAAUUAAAAGUUUGUAUUAUAAAUUUAUUAUCACAAUUUCGCUAAUGUCAGUCAAUUAUGAAUCUAAUCUUCGUCGUUGGGCAUUAUUUUGUCCGUUCAUAUUGUUCUCUCAUUAUUUUCAUUUUGUCUGAUAAUCAUUGAUGCAGCUAAAACAUACUGGCGCACAAACUUCUACCCUGAUUUGCUUACAUCUUUCAUUUUCAAAUGGCCUGCCAUUUGUAUUAUUAUUUAAGUACUAACCUUAAAGCAGACUACCAUUCUGGCAUGAAUUUUGACAUCCUAUUGAUGCAACAGUUGCUUCCCAUGUGUUAUGAAUCUCAUCUGAGGUGGAAUUUGCAGAUAUCUGCUAGAUGUUGAAUUGUUAGGAAGAUAUUUUCAUAAGUCAGGCUACAUUGAUCGAAGUUGUUUCUAGUCGUAGCAAUGAGUAAGAUGAUUGGUUAAGUUGCUAAUCUCGUUGUUCACAUUCCUAUAAGCCAUGAAGUUGAUUUUUUUGUUCUCUUAUAUUGUUUUCUCAUACACCACCGCUCUCUUUACAUGUGCAUUCCAUAUGCACUCUCAGAUUCUCCGUCUUGUUUUCUUUUCAAUAUUUAUUAAUAUGCGGCUCUAUCAAGUUUAUAUGAUUUUCUAGACCCAGAAAUUGGAUCAAUUAUCACAAGCACGUGCAUUUGAACUUGUUCUCGAGUUGCUAUGUUGAAUAUUUUCCUUUGGUCUGUAACUCUAUUACUAGCUUAUACAUAUAGUUUCUGAUGUCGUAAUGUUUAAAAUAAGUAUCACAAUACCAUAUAAAGUUGCAUUAUUGUUAUGCCUAUUCACAAGAAUAGUAGUAGGCAGAGCUUGCAAGUUGGUGUGAUAAACCCAUGAGUAUAAAUUGAGAAGUCGGACCUUGGUAUGCCUGCAUAUGAAUGCAUUGAACUCAUCGAAGCAUGAUGGCUAGGUCUCAGGUUUUUCUCCAAGUUGGAUUAUGAGAGGACAUGUUGCCUUAAUAGAUCACAAUAACCAGACCUUGUUACAUUGUUUUAGUCUUGGGUUCACAAUGUGUCAUUAUAAAGUAGGAAUACGGCUAUCCAAACCAUGUCUAGUGAAGUGGUCAAAUCAAAGGAUUUCAUGGUGGUGAUUCCUUAAGGGGGAAUAUUUGGGGCACCGGCACACCCUGAUGUUACAACUAGUACAAUUUUAGUGUGUGUAGUUAUAUCUGAGUUUAUAUGUGGAGCAUCAACUGAUGCUUUGAGAGCCCUGGGGAAGAACUCACAAGAGUAUAUGCCAUAUGCAUAAACUGAAUGGAUCAACAGCCUGACUGUAUUUUGUCUCAAAGGGAUGUUAUUUGCUGCUCACCAUAAUCUUCUGACUGAUACCUGUAGUAGUUUUUGUGUUUGUUCAAGUAUUAAAUGAGACAUGUGAUUUGAGAAACUAAUUCUUUUUGUUCGGGUAUCCUAUUUAUUCGUUUAACUGCUUUUGACUAGAGAUUGUUGAGAGACAACAUAAGCAAGACAUUAUCUAUAUGGUAAAGAGUGGGAAAACGUGCUGAAUGGAGUUCAGUUCUAACAUCAUGGUUUAUUGCGUUUACAGCCCCAAUGAAAAAUGUGGCUGGCAUGUGAAGUCAUGAGUUUAUAGCCCCUCCUUGAAUUCAUUUCUGUUUUUAGACACGAGGACAGGAGAAUCAUCAUGGACUACCUAUACAGUUUGGAAGAAUCCUUCUAUUCGAAAUCUGAUGGCGGUGAUGCUGUAUGCACAUUCAUCCUGUCACUCUACCAUAACAUUUCUGGUCAGUUGAAACCUGGUGGUUUGAGCUUUGGGCUCAGCUGAUGCAGAACAGGUGAACAUAUUUUCUGGCUGCCAGCAGCUCUCAAUGCAGUUGAAGCCUGUUUCAAGAGUCAAUUAUGAUGUUUGAACUGAUCAGAGAGAAAAGCUCACAUAUUUGAAUUGAUCUAUCAAAUAUGGUCAUCUUAAAAUAGGAUUACCCCAGCUUCAUCAGAUCUGGCGUGUCACUUUUCUCAUUUUGUGGCUGGCUGAGCUCAAGGUUUAUAGACUCAUUUCCAGCUGAUUUUCCAGAUUUUGGAGGUCUUUGAUGCUCAAUCCAGAAAGUUCUUCUCCCAAAAGCUGCCUGCAGGUAUCAGAAAAAGGCAUGUUGAGGUGGCGCUAUUUAGAGAGGUGUGCCUAGUGAAUUUAGAAAGACUAACACCAUUUCCACCAAGUAAGCUGCAUGGGCCUGAUCAGAAGGGUGUUGAAAUCCCAACAGUUGAUUUUUUUUCCCCAGCAAUUUGCAGGAACUGGAAGCUAUUACCUUGCUAAUCCGUUUCUGUAUCCUGGACCUAACUAGGCAUGUUUAGGAAUAAUUGAUUGCAAGACCUACAUAGAGAACCAAUUUUGUGAAUGUUAACUCAACUGAUUUGAAGAAGGGACAUCUGGAAGAGAUAAGCUCCAACAUAUCCAAUAAAACCCUGCAGAAUUGAGUAAAAAGGAUCUUGUGAGUUAUUCUUGAGGGUAUUUGUACACAGCUUAUUGCAGUAGAGUUCUAAUACAUGGGGAGAAGAUCUCCUUUUGAAAUGUCGAAAUUCAUUGCAAGAACUGGACUUUUCUGAAGACAAAGAUAGAUGGACAGCAAGAUCCUGGAUGUUUUACGUUGCAUUGUGUUGGAUUUCCCUAAACUUUGUCUGUUCAAGUUUUAGUGGGAUCCAGGUAUCUGGAAUGCACUUAUUGCGAAUAUGGAAGGCCAACAUUGGAUGGUGGACAGCAUGAUUUUAGUGUCUGACCCGCUGAAGGCAGAACCAAUUCUCUGACAAAAUGCUUGUCUAGGCACCAGAUCUCAACUGUAAUUGAUACGUGAAGUGACGUAAGAUUCCUCUACUAUCUCUUUCUUCACUUUGAAGAUGCCUGAGCUUUCAUCACUGAAUUGGUAGAGCAUAGGGAUAAAAUGCUACUUAUAAGUUAUAAGUGUUGAUCUGUGCAACUAUUCGUAUACCUUGAACAGGGACCAAAUAUCGUUCACUUCAUGUUGUUUAGAAUAAUAUCUUUCAUAAUUAUUUAGAGAAUAAGCAUAUUUGCUCAAUGCUCAAGGCUCUGUCUGUUGAUAUAAGCUGGAAGAAUCAAAUUUUUAUGGGCACACUUGCAAGUCCUCUGUAUGAUUAUUGCUCCUCUAUCUUACUUUCUGCCUCUUAAUCAAGUAUUUGAUUGAAUGGAUGAAGUUGCCACAACAUCGGACCAUUGAGGUUGUCAAUCUUUAGAUUCAUUCUUUGCUUCAAUUCUGAAUAAGUUGUAUUUUUCAACAGUAAAUUUGUAAACCUGUUGCUGAAUCAAUUGUAAGAAGAUAUUGUGGGACUUGCAUUAGUUGUAGGGUUGUGAGUCUCUCCGACUCGUUCACAUGCAUUUGAGCCUAUUGGUCAACCUUCAAGGUGGUGUCCAUUUGGGUACAAGUCCAGGUCGAUGAACAUGGAUUAGACGGAGAUGUCAUAUAUUUCGUUAUGGAACUUGUAAUGCGCAACCCUGCAUUGAUGGUAGGAAGAUUAUAGCCUUGGGUUGCUCCUAGUUAUCAAUUGGUUUGGGCAUCUGAUGUCACCUGGUUAGUUUCCUAUGAUGUUGGCUUCCUUACACUUGCAUCACGUACUUUCGACUGCAUGUCAGUUCCUACCCUCAAACACAGGUUUUGGCAUUUUAGAACACCUGGUUAGUAUUGAAUGAUGUUAGCUAAGCCAAGAGUUUGAUCCUGCUAAGGACACUUGUAUCACAUACUCUUAACUGCAUGCCCAUUCCUAUCCUGAAACGCUAUUCUGGAUUCCUUUGAACUUUCUGAUUUCUGGUUUUGGAAUAAGUUCCAUGUUUAUUUCGGAUUGUAUAUUACACAAAAGCACCUUUGAGGUGCUGUCCAUGUAGGUGAUCCUGGAGUUGUGGGACAGGUCAAUGAACCUGGAUUAGAUGGGAUGGAACAUAAUGUACUUCUUUAGUGGAGUUCGUAAAGCUCGAUCCUGCACUGAUUGUGGGAGGAUUAAAGCCUUGACUUACUCCUAUUUAUGAGUUGGUUUUCGCCUGGUUAGUUCUCAGCGAUGGUGGCUAAGCCUUGAGUUUGAUCCUGUUCCUUACACUUGCAUGGCAUGGCAUACUCAACUGCAUGUCCGUUCCAAUCCUCAAACAUGGAGGAGUUGAAGAGUACUGUGGAUUCUUUUGAACUUUCUGAUACUAUUUCUUGGGUUUGGGAAGAAUUUCAAGUUUAUUUUGGAUUGUAAUACACAAGUGCAUGCUUACUAGUUUCUUCAUUUUCUAUACCUCCACAUUGGUUGAAUCCAAGUUCUGCGGGAGGGAACAACAUAAGUAGAUUAAGCAACAAUUGUGAUAUACUUAUUUCCUUCCAAUUCAGCGAGCCUCUAAUAAAAUUUUCUCCUUAUUGGAUCUAUUGUUUAACAUAGCAUUACAGAUCUAAUAGAUUUAGAGCCUGUGGUAUAUAGUCGCUGCAUCACUAAUUCAUUGUGCAUGUAUAUGACCUUCAUAGUAAAUUGAUGAGAUAUACAAGUCCCAGAGAUGAUAAAUCUCAAGAUAAUUCCAUGUUAUAUUAUGGUUUUUGCUUUCAGAUCCUCAACUCCAUCUGUUCGUUGUUCUGAUCACAAAACCUUAUUCUAGACAUGUAAGAGGACCUAACUUUACACUGAUUCUAAAUCACUGAAAAGAACUUCACUUCUACGAACAAUUUAUGGUGCUCAAUCAUACAUGGUGUGUAAGGGUUAGAUGUCCUGGGGAAUGACUGCAUUGAGUAAGUUUUGCGAUUAAUCUUCCUGAUACCCUGCUGAAAAGUGGAAGCUAGUUCAUGUCGUUUGAGUUCUUUGCAAUUGAUGCUCAAUUUUUACCCUAAGUUUCCAUCAACUAUGUCAAUUAUUCUUGUAUAACAGAUUAUACAACCAUGUUUUAUCUAAUAUCUGGCAUAGACUUCUGUGUAAGUUAUGUCUGGAAAACACAUUAUAGGAGGUAAGUAUGUUAAGCAAAAAUUGAAUUAUUAUGUCUUCGAAAAAUGGUAACUUUGUUUUCUCCAUUUGACCGUCUCUUUAUCUCAUGGUACUGGAGGAAGGGACCGGGAAGUCCACCACAAAAAAAUUGACGCUUGUUCUGAAAACAUUAAAUUGAUGAAUAGAUAGUCUCCAUUCUUUUGUUUUUGGUUAUCUUGAUAACCUCAUCUGAGAUCUUUGUCUUUGUUGUGAUUGGGUUGCUAUGGUCAUCUUUUCUUCCCUUUUGUGUCUCACUUUUCGUAAUGGCGGCAAAGCCCUUAUUAUCUUAAUUAUCUUUCAGAUGUGUGAGUAUGAUACUCUUUUCUUAUGAAAUAAUCAUUUUAAGAAGUUGAAAAUUCUUCUUGUGAGUUGAAAUCAAUUCCCUAGUGCGUCAAGGGAACAUGUCCUUUUCCAUUAUCUGCUUAUUGAGUCUCUUUUUUAAUCUUUGGAACAUGUCCGAUUUUGGCCGAUUUAUCAUGACUCAACCAUUUUGCUCUAUCCACUUAUCAGCCUGAAAUAUAGCCAAUUUUCUCCACUGAGUUGCACUUUUCUAUGCUCUCUUCGAGCUGUGAUCCUCUUACCUAAGUUUUGCUUGGACUCGGAAGAAGACAACAUGAUGAGCUUCUGGAGUUAUGCUCGUGUAAAAUGGAACAUGAUGAGCUUCUUCCCGUACCUUUUGUAGAGGUCUUCGUGUUCUAUUGUGGUUGGAGAUGCUAGGUAUUCCUCCUUCACUUGUGGGUAUGUUUGCACUGUUCAACUUAUGAUGUUCAAGUCCUAUUACUGGUAAGAGAAACGAACUAUCUUUUAACGGAAUUAUGUGAAAUUUGCAGUUCCAGCAGAAGCUUCGAAUAAUGCUCUUAUGUUUUGGAUUACGGCCAUUCUUCUGCAAAAGGCAAUAGGAGGCGUUAGCUUUGCCUGAUGCAAAUAGUGCAAAAUAUUGUCCGAAAAUUUCACAUCUUCAUGCCCACCUUCACUUAAAGUAGUUCUUGUGCAAUACUGUAUCAUAAAUUCUUCAUUGCACAUUUUGCAUAGGACUGCUGCUGUCCUGUGCUGCUAUAUGGAGAUUGCCCCUUGCCAAUUUUGUCAAAUCUUAUGGUCAUCUUCUUCAUGUGCUGAAAAAGUAUGCGGCUGGAGUAAAUUUCGAGCAUGAACUAAUAAAGUUAAAAACUAUACUCAAUUGUCUAAUUGAAACUUGGCAGGGCAUUACUGCGGUUUAAUCGUGGUCAACGUACCUUUGUAUUUUUGAAGUUACAACUGCCUGUUUCUCGAAACUCACAUGAGUUUCUAUGUGAAAUUCCAACAUAUAUUCCUUUGAGCAUUAGUUUUAAUCGUGGGGAAUGGUAUAGUUCCUUUACCUAAAGAACCAUGGAGAAGCAAAUUGUAUUUUGGUAGAGUUUUGUCUACAUUGUUACUUAUCUUUAUUGUAGCUUUGCUAAAUGUUUGGAGAUCGAUUGCUCAGAAUCCAAGUCUUGGGUGCUCAACUGUUUUAAGGUGAUUGUUUCUAUGGGAUGAAAACCCCAUGAACCAGGAAAGUCUUUUUGUACAGUAACUAUUAUCAUGAUAUUCAUGGUGGACUACUCUGUCAGAAAUAUACAAAUUCAAGUCUAUUUAACAGAGUAAGUUGCUGCCAUUUCCCUGGAAAGCCAGGCAACUAGCUUUUUAUAAUGCACAUUUGGUGUUGUUCAUAAAGUGUUGGUCUUUCUGCAAUAUGUGAAUUCAAGAGCACAAUUUGCCUGGCAAAGCCAAAUAGCUCUUGUUUCAACAAGCAAGAAAUUCAAAUUCUUUGAUUGUAUUGUAAGUAUUGAUCACUUUUGAUCUUAUGAUGCCUAAUUCAGAAAUAUAUGAUAUUUGAGGAGAUCAGCUAAAGGAGAUCAGCUAAAGGAGAUCAACUUAUUUGACCCUUUAGGUUCAGGGCCCAAGUUUCCAAGAAACUGCUUGAGCAAGACUCCAGAAUAUUUAUGGAGUCCUUAUCAGAGUAGGGUGCAGCAGAUGGUAAUGCUCCUCUUUCAGUUUGUUGUAUCGAUCAAUCACAGAUUUCAUGCUGAAGAAAAGGGGGAAGAGUAACAAUUAUCCAUCACUGUGCCUAAACAGAUGCAGAACUCUCAUUGCAGAUACAGCUUUUACAUGGCUGCAUUAUUUUUGAACAGCUAAAGCUGUAUUAUAUCAGAUCAUGCCAACAUGUAAUAACAUGGUAUAUAAAGUGAAGUAGGAAGAUUAUGUAUUUUGAUGUAAUCCUAGGAUAUCGUUGCAUUGUAUAAAUGGUAGCUCUAGUAAUUUCGUUAAUAUGUUUCGAGACUGACA